rnacentral:lncRNA from 1 species
GAAGUGCAUUCUUCGUUGUCGCGCUGUUUCGAUUCAUUCAAAAGAAGUUUCGGAAAUUCGAAUUCGAAUUUUUUACAGAGAAAUGUACAGAGAAAUAUAUUGAUAUUAAAUAAAAGUAAAGAAAUAUAUAAGAUACAAAUCGCGGAGAGUCCAAAUAGUUCCUUUCCCACAUAUUUCCAAACAGUGAGAAAUAAAAAAACAAUUAAAAAAACAAAAAGACACAAAGUGCAUUUGGUUUCCUUUUUAAACAUUAUUAUGAGAGCCACUCAGUUCUCUCUUGGCCCACUAUAUUUAUGUUAGGGACUGCAGUGUUGGUGUUUCAUAGGAAGGUGCUAAACGUAGCAGUUCGCAUCAUAUGAGUAACGAAGAAAGAUAUUACGAUAGUGACGACAGCUUAAAAUCCCUUCUGGAGGGCCUCCAACUUACCGACAUUGACAGACGGCCGACUCAGAAAACACCAAAAACCAUGGAUCCUGCAAUACUAGGGGCCACACAGGCCGCACUGAACACCCAGGAGGCCAAAUUCCAGCAAAUGCAAACCACUAUUGAUCAAUUUGUACGAGCGGCCGUGCCCGUAACCGCUCCAGAGGUAGAGGUGUUUCAAAAAAUAUCUAUCAGGCCUGGGGUCGAGUGCGAUCGUUCACUUGACAUGGUAAAAUCCCUCCCGGACUUCGACGGGAAACAAGGGCACUUUUCGAGCCUUAUGAGGGCAGCGCUAAGCAUUACAUGGCAACAGUUAUCAUAAGAAAUAAAGUGAGAGGGGCCGCGGACAAUGUUUUAUCAUCUUUUAACACGGUCCUGAAGGUCAGGGCCAUCAUUCAUAGACUAGAUAGCUCAUACUGCGACAAAAUGCCGGUGAGCAUAAUACAGCAGAAGUUAGCAACCAUGAGGCAGGGAAACCUUUCCCUAACAGAGUACUAUGACCAGAUUGAGAAACAGCUCUCUCUUAUUACGAAUAAAAACAUUAUGGUUCACACGACAGUUGCGGCGAGCGUCUUAAAUAACAAAGCCAGGGAGGACGCCUUAGAGAUAUUUAUUUCAGUCCUGAGAAGGGCUCUCAAAACGCCGGUUUUUUCCGCAAGACCAAAGGAUCUGCCAACCGCUCUGGCCCUCGCCCAGUCAGCAGAAUCCAGCGAGGAGCGCUGCAUUCUAGCUGCAAACUGAGCGCAAACCUCAGGGUACACAACAGGGAAAUGCCAGACAGUAUAGGGUUCAGGACCAAAAUGCUUCCAAGAACCCUCAUUAUAUCAAGAGUCCGGGCACGUCUAGUGCCCAGCAAAGUGGUUCUAACCAACGCAAAGCACAGAGCCCGGCACCUGAACCCAUGGACGUGGACCCUUCCUCGUCAAAGUUCAGACAAACAACGGCCUACCAAAACCCAUUGGGGUCGGGGAGGCGAUAUAACAAUUUCCCAAAAAAACAAGACGCGUCAAUGCGCACCGCUGGGAAUUGGAGGCAAAGAGUGGAACAUAUUGCCACGGGUAACCAACAAGACCAGGUUAGUUACAGUGAGGCCGCUGCAGGGGCAGUCGCCGAAAUAGAUGCGGGCGAGGAGAUCGAUUACGAGAGUGACUCGAUCAAUUUUUUAGGGGAAGGUCCCUGCAGCCAUUCCUUUGGCGGAAAGUAGCGGGGGUUAACAUAAAGUUAUUAAUAGACACGGGCGCGUCGAAGAACUACAUCAAGGCACUCGCAUGCCUUCGGGGAGUCAUUCCGGUUGAAACACCGUUCCCGGUGCAUUCGGUCAACGGGACGAAUAAAAUCCCCAAAAAGUGUUUUCAGUCGAUAUUCGGCACAAAACCCACUUUUUUUCGUACUAAAAUUCUUCUCAACCUUCGACCGCACAUUUAUGGUCUCGACUUGCUAUCGCAGAUAGGGGCACCAUUGUGCUUGAAAGAUGGAACACUCAGUUUCGGUAACACGACUGAGGCCAUAAAAUUCCACAGGUGCACUGACGUCAACCAUACUAGCGUAGUUGACGUCGACGCACCACCGGCCAUAAAAGAGAAAUUUAUGCAGAUGUUGAAUAGAAGGAGUGCGGCUUUUGCCGACCCUAGCGGGACACUACCUUACAACACUUCGGUCGUUGCCACCAUUCGCACGGUGGACAAUGAACCCAUAUACUCCAAGCUAUACCCUUACUCUAUGGGGGUAGCCAAUUUUGUUGAAUCCGAGGUCAGGAACCUUCUGAAGGACAACAUAAUUCUCAAGUCGAGAUUAUCAUAUAACAAUCCCAUACGGGUGGUGGACAAAAAUGGCACUGAUGAACAGGGCAACAGGAAGAAACGUCUAGUAACGGACUUUCGGAAAUUCAACGAGAAGACAGUGGCCGACAAAUACCCUAUGCCGAGCAUCUCAAUGAUCUUAGCCAACCUGGUGUCGGCAAAAUAUUUCACCACACUCGACCUUAAAUCCGGUUACCACCAAAUAACUUUGGCGGAGUGCGACCGAGAAAACACCUCAUUUUCCGUGCAUGGGGGAAAGUACGAGUUUUGCCGACUGCCCUUCGGUCUUCGGAAUGCGGGAAGCAUUUUCCAGAGGGCAAUCGAUGAUGUUUUGCGUCGAUGACGUAAUUGUCUUUUCUAAAACCCAAGACGACCAUGUGAGACAUGUUGAUUGGGUACUUAAAAGCCUAUACGAGGCAAACAUGAGAAUAGCUCAAGAGAAGUCGCAGUUUUUUAAAGAAAGCGUCGAGUACCUCGGGUUUAUUGGAACAAGUAAUGGCACAAAGACAGACCCAGAGAAGGUAAAGGCUAUCCAGCAUUACGCGGAGCCAAAUACAGUUUUUGCACUAAGGUCACUUUUGGGCCUUGCAAGCUACUACCGCUGCUACCUAAAAGACUUUGCUGCUUUUGCAAAGCCUCUCUCAGAUAUUCUGAAAGGUGAAAACGGGUCGGUAAGCAAAUGCAGAUCAAAGAAUAUCUUGGUUGACCUUAACGAGGCUCAGCGCCAUGCGUUCCAAAAGCUCAAGAACAUCCUUGCAUCAGAAGAUGUCAUGCUGAUGUAUCCUGACUUUAAAAAACCUUUUCACUUAACUACGGACGCUUCAGCCUAUGGCAUAGGAGCAGUCCUUUCCCAAAAUAGGAAACCAAUCACGAUGAUAUCCCGAGCUCUAAAAGACAGGGAGGCAAACAAAGCGACUAACGAGCGUGAGUUGCUGGCCAUCGUGUGGGCCCUAGCCAAACUUCGGCACUACCUCUAUGGGGUAAGGGACAUAAACAUCUUUACACCAGCCGCUUACAUUUGCGGUGUCUGAAAGCAAUCCCAACGCUAAAAUACAGCGCUGGUUUUUUUAUAAGCCAGGAAAAGAAAAUCACGUUGCUGACGCACUGUCUCGACAAAAUGUCAACGCGUGGGAAAGCGCCCCACAGUUGGACGCAGCGACGGUUCAUAGCGAGGUAUCGCUUUCCUAUACUAUACAAACGACGGAUAAGCCCGUCAAUUGUUUUAGAAACCAGAUAGUUCUAGAGGAAGCCCAAUUCCCUCUAAAGAAAGUCUUCAUUCUCUUCGGGGAAAAGACUCGGCAUAUCUUACACUUUACAGACAAAGUCGCCCUUGUUACUAUCAUUAAGUCGAUAGUAAAGCCGCACGUCGUAAAUGCGAUCCAUUGCGAUUUCUCAACGCUAGCAUGCGUGCAGCAUGAGUUGGUAAGAGCCUUUCCUUCGACAAGAUUUUGUCAUUGCAAGAAUCUUGUCGCAGACGUAUUUGAUGAUAAUGAGAGGAAAGAAAUCAUCACGGUAGAACACAAUCGAGCUCAUAGAGUCGCUCAGGAAAGUGUAAAACAGGUUUUGACCGAUUACUAUUUUCCCAAAAUGACUAAACUGGCAAGCGAGGUAGUCAUGAACUGUAAGAUCUGCUCCCGAUGGCCCUGCGCAUUGUCACUCUCAACCCAGCCACCUGGAGCCCAUCACCCUCGUGGACGAUGGGGUCAUCAUCAUCAACAACAGACCUGCCUUGAUCCGAUGUGACUACGAUACGUUGGUUGAAACCUCCGGGACGCAAUUAGUCGCCAUUGACGACUUUGCCAUUGUUAACGGCUCCCGUUUUCGAAAUCGUGACAAUACCAAGCAUCAGGUUCCCGUCAUCGCCUCGGUGCCUGCCAUGAACAUCACGGAGCACCACAAGGUCCUGAGUCUACCAUUCCUACACCAGCUCAGCGGGGACAAUCGCAACUACAUCAAGGAGAUUGAGCGAACCACAAUGGGCAAGAUGAACCCCAUCCUUACCAUUGGAGUAGGAGUAGCCGUCUGUGAAGUCAUCCUUUAUCUCAGAGCCCUAUUCAAGAGGAAAAGGGAGUUGGUCCUGGUCAACGCAAUGAUUGAGAACUUGAGAGGUUCGAGGGCGACCACUCUUGUAGAGGGGGAGUAGUUAACACUCCCCACCAACGGCAAUGUUCUUACUUUGUAAGAAUGCUGAUACAGCGCUGGAGUGGACGAGCAUUGAGUUGAACUGGCAUCAUAUUUUGUCCGUUGCAUAAACAUCCGCCAAGAACGUCAGCACGUGGAGCUGACGCGGCGGAAUCGGAGAGCGCUGGCGGGUAGCGCUGCUCAAGCGAUGGAGCCGUCCGCGGCGUACCAAUUAAAAUUCAUACUUUUGUACUUUCGUUUAACACUCAUAUUCGACCGAGCCUGAAGUGCCGGCAAUAAAUAUCUCAACACUAAAUUCGUCUCUCAAUUCCGUUGGCCGAAGCCACGGUACCUUGGAGAAACUUAAUAAUUUGUAUGCCUAACACUGUUCUAUAGUUACAUGCCCAUAUUAGAGCUACUCACAGCUACAAGCCUUCUCAUAAACUAGUGGAUUCUAAACGAAGAUGGAUGACCUCGAAAUUAUUUUUAUAAACUCGCAACCUGAAACAACUCUAGAUCUGGACACCCAGCCCGACUCCUUGGACCUUUCGCUGAUAUUCAGAAUUAAAACGCAAGAAUAUAUAAUGCAAUGGAACGUCUUAAGUGAUAUUGUAUGGGAUGAUAGUCUCGAUGACCUACUGGCUGCUGCUCUGAUUGACGAAAUUCAAACAUUCAACUUCCCGGAUGAUGACAGUUUAUUCGAGUUAGUCUAUGAUAAUGACGAAGGGGACAGAAAACGAUUCCAGGAACUUCUUCGCGACGAAGAUAAUGCCAAAUUAAUAACUGCGCUAGAAAGAGCCGAGACGUAAUUUUAAUAAUAUUCUUAUUUAUGUUUAAUACAAUUAAUUUAUGUAUUUUUCUACAAAUAAUAUAAAAUAAAUACAAUAUAAAUUUAAAAGAAUAUUUAUUUUCAAUGG